GAGUUGGGGAUUAAACUUGACAGAGUAUGCAGGUCAAUCCAUCAUUAUCAAGUGUAACUACACAAGUGCACCUGUGAAUGACGAAAAAUAUUUCUGCAAGGAAGGACACAACUUGUCCUGUGAUGAGCAAAUCAGGAGCAAUGUGUCAGAAAAGUGGUGGCAAAGCAAAGGCCGAUUCUCUCUGUAUGACAACACUGCCAAAAGCUUCUUUAAAGUGUCCAUCAGAAACUUAACUGAGAGUGACAGCGGCAAAUACCGGUGUGGAGUUGGUGGGAGAGAGAUUAAAAGCACUGAUGCAUAUUUGAACGUAAUGGAGGGUCAAACAGAAUCCAGGAAACCUCCUGUGUAUGAGGGAUAUACAGGAGAAAACAUCUCUAUUAUGUGCCCUUAUGACCUGGGGAAGUACAGAAAUGUAAUGAAAUACUUUUGUAAAAAUUAAGCAGUUGCGUGUAUCAGUAGCGUAAGAACAGAGAAAAAAGAUCAAUGGUUCAAUCCUGAAAAAGAUUCCAGAGGUAAAGAUAGGUUCUAUUUCUAUGACAACACCACUGGAGGAUUCUUCAUGGUGAACAUCACCAACCUCACUACAGAGGAUGUUGGGACGUACUGGUGUGGUGUCCAUGUCUCUUUUCAGCAGAACUCUCCUCUCUCAGUGGACAACCUCACUGAAGUAAUACUCAACGUGAAGAAUGGAUCCCAUGAAGACGAUUCAAACGUUCUUUCACCAGGCAUUACGGCCCCACUCUUCAUCACUCUGGUCUUGGUGGCGCUGGUGUUUGGAGCCGCACUCUUCUUUUGUUGGCAACACAGAAGGAACAACAGU